AAUGGAUAUCUCAAGCAGUACUUAAAUGUAAUAAGAGUACUGUAAGGGAUAUCUGUCUC
rnacentral:precursor_RNA from 1 species